UACGGCUCAGUAACACGUAGUCAACCUAACCUAUGGACGGGGAUAACCUCGGGAAACUGAGAAUAAUACCCGAUAGAUCAUGAUACCUGGAACGGUUUAUGGUUCAAAUGAUUUAUCGCCAUAGGAUGGGACUGCGGUCUAUCAGCUUGUUGGUGAGGUAAUGGCCCACCAAGGCUAUAACAGAUACGGGCUCUGAGAGGAGGGGCCCGGAGAUGGGUACUGAGACACGGACCCAGGUCCUAUGGGGCGCAGCAGGCGAGAAACCUUUGCAAUGUGCGAAAGCACGACAAGGUUAAUCCGAGUGAUUCCUGCUAAAGGAAUCUUUUGUUAGUCAUAAAACCACUGAUGAAUAAGGGGUGGGCAAGUUCUGGUGUCAGCCGCCGCGGUAAUACCAGCACCUCGAGUGGUCAGGAGGUUUAUUGGGCCUAAAGCAUCCGUAGCCGGCUGUUCAAGUUUCCGGUUAAAUCCACACGCUUAACGUAUGGGCUGCCGGAAAUACUGUUCAGCUAGGGAGUGGGAGAGGUAGACGGUACUCGAUAGGAAGGGGUAAAAUCCUUUGAUCUAUUGAUGACCACCUGUGGCGAAGGCGGUCUACCAGAACACGUUCGACGGUGAGGGAUGAAAGCUGGGGGAGCAAACCGGAUUAGAUACCCGGGUAGUCCCAGCUGUAAACGAUGCAGACUCGGUGAUGCAUUGGCUUGUGGCCAGUGCAGUGCCGCAGGGAAGCCGUUAAGUUUGCCGCCUGGGAAGUACGUACGCAAGUAUGAAACUUAAAGGAAUUGGCGGGGGAGCACCACAAGGGGUGAAGCCUGCGGUUCAAUUGGAUUCAACGCCGGGA
rnacentral:rRNA from 1 species